CAGCUGGGUGUCAAUCUUUAAGGUCUUCUGGAGUCUCAGACAAGUGUCCCAUCUGGCCAGCGUCACAAAGAUGAAAGGAUAUUGUUAUUUCAGAGAAAGGCCUUUACUUGACAGGUCACUCCGAGAAGUGCUGGAGACUGCUACAGUAGAUAGGAUUCCCAUGUUGGAAACAUGCUACCAGUCAUCACCUUGGACUCCUCACCCCACAAAUAGGCUGGCUCUGCACAAGUGUUGCUUCCUUAGCCUUUUACGUAUUUGGAUGGUGCAAGAGUUCUGGUCAUUUGAGGUUAGAAUUCCUGGUCAGGUACUGUUUUAACUGAGACAUGAGUUGGACAAAAAGUUUUAAAGGAGUAGCCUAAACAAAUUUGAAAGCAAAGAGCACAUAUGCUAUGAGGCCUGCAUUACAGAUCGCCAAGAUCAAGUAGCUUCAUGUGAGAUCUGAAGGCAUCUAUGAGCUUGUGACCUUUGCAACUGCUUCCCCAGGCUCAGCGGUGCCUCGAGGUGGCAGGUGUGCUCCAUGGUUAAAGAUUCCUUGGCAGCUAACUCUGAAAAUUGCUAACCAUGUGUACAAGAAAAAAUGUUCUGGUGAGUGCUGGUGGAACAUGUGAGGAACAUAGACAAGAAAGAAGAGAUCAACAGUUGAAUAUACUUUUAAAAAAUCUUGAAAUUUUAAGCAUUCCAGCUGGAUUAGAGCCAACUAAUAAUGAACUUCAGUGGAAGGGGUCUGAAAGCUUCCCAGUGAUCACAGGAACAGGCAGAGCAGCAGUUGAUCUGAUGAGGUGAUUAAGAAUCAAGCAUCCAUGACAAAUAGCUCUUCAGAGGAAGUUAGCUUUUGUGGGAGCAACUUUAGCUGACCCUGAGGGGGACUUUGAAGAUACCUGACUUUCAGAGUCUACACAUCUGUGUGUCUCCCUGAAGUCUGCCUUUCAGGAAUGAGGAUGAGGGUUUUGCACAUUCCUCACAGGGAAAAAACAUGCCCUGGCCCUGGUCCUGCAGUAAGUACCACCUUGGCUGACCUCAGAGCUGCACAGUUCCAGGAUUUUCAAGGACACGGUCAUUCUCAUAAAAGGAAGCUAUUAUGCGUCCUUUUAGAGGAGACCAGCAGCUUGACUGUUCUCAAAGUGCAUCAUCUGGCUGGUGGUUGCAGCCUUUAGAUGAUUGAGAAUAAAGAUGCCCACUGUGGAGCUGUUGUCUUAUUCAAGAGCAGGAACCACCAGUGAUACGCUGUGUAGUACAGAUAGAGAAUUUAUUUUUACAACCUUUCCUGCACAGAAUUUGCUGAGAG